rnacentral:rRNA from 1 species
GAUGAACGCUGGCGGCGUGCCUAAUACAUGCAAGUCGAGCGAAUGGAUUAAGAGCUUGCUCUUAUGAAGUUAGCGGCGGACGGGUGAGUAACACGUGGGUAACCUGCCCAUAAGACUGGGAUAACUCCGGGAAAGCGGGGCUAAUACCGGAUAACAUUUUGAACCGCAGGGUUCGAAAUUGAAAGGCGGCUUCGGCUGUCACUCCUGGAUGGAACCGCGUCGCAUUAGCUAGUUGGUGAGGUAACGGCUCACCAAGGCAACUGUGCGUAGCCGGCCUGGGAGGGUGAUCGGCCAAACUGGGACUGAGACACGGCCCAGACUCCUACGGGAGGCAGCAGUAGGGAAUCUUCCGCAAUGGACGAAAGUCUGACGGAGCAACGCCGCGUGAGUGAUGAAGGCUUUCGGGUCGUAAAACUCUGUUGUUAGGGAAGAACAAGUGCUAGUUGAAUAAGCUGGCACCUUGACGGUACCUAACCAGAAAGCCACGGCUAACUACGUGCCAGCCGCCGCAGUAA